AACGAACGCUGGCGGCGUGCUUAACACAUGCAAGUCGAACGGAAAGGCCCUGCUUUUGUGGGGUUCUCGAGUGGCGAACGGGUGAGUAACACGUGAGUAACCUGCCCUUGACUUUGGUAUAACUUCAGGAAACUGGAGCUAAUACCGUAUAGGAGCUCCUGCUGCAUGGUGGGGGUUGGAAAGUUUCGGCGGUUGGGGAUGGACGCGCGGCUUAUCAGCUUGUUGGUGGGGUAGUGGCUUACCAAGGGUUUGACGGGUAGCCGGCCUGAGAGGGUGACCGGCCACAUUGGGACUGAGAUACGGACCAGACUCCUACGGGAGGCAGCAGUGGGGAAUAUUGCCCAAUGGGCGGAAGCCUGAUGCAGCAACGCUGCGUGCGGGAUGACGGCCUUCGGGUUGUAAACCGCUUUCGCCUGUGACGAAGCGUGAGUGACGGUAAUGGGUAAAGAAGCACCGGCUAACUACGUG
rnacentral:rRNA from 1 species